UAUAUAUAUUGUUGACAAAGCAUCACUAUCAACCGAAAUCCGCUCAGAAAUUUUUUUCAUAAGCUACAAUGGUUUAUCGUUGCUUCCGGAUACAAAUUAAUGUCUUUUCUAUAUCCUACCUUACCAACUUCUCAUCAACAACAUUGGCUGCACUCAUCGUGUGAAGUAUGUCCGUCUUUUUCACUUGUGUUAUUUUAGCAC